UGGAAUUCAGCAUCUCCGGCAAGCUCGAGAAGUACGCAUACGUCUUGCCCUGGUUCAUGUUCUCCGUGCAGUUGAGGAUGAUUAUGUCGUCGUACCGCAUUAUCUCCAGCGCAACCAAGACUUUCUGGUCUUCCUUCGUGAGGUUGCAGAACACGAACUUGACGUCGACCUUUGCUCCGGCCGGCGACUGGGUGCCGUAAACAAUGCGGAGGAAGUGCCGGCGCUGGUACUGGUCGGGGAGGGUCAGGAUUCCGAUGAAGAUCCGGAUGUCGUCGGAGGUAGAAUUCAGGGGGAGAAAACUAGCGGAAGAUGAUGAGUUGUAGGAGAAGAAAGUGUGACUGCCGAACUUCAGGAGAUUGCCGGAUCGGACUUCGUAAAUGGAAACUACGGCGCAGAGGAAGAGGAUGAAGAAGGAGGAGAUGAUGAAACGGGAUCGUUCAGGCUUGGUGGGCUUCAUCAUCACCUGUUGGAAAUUGGGAUUCAUCGUCAUCUUCUGAAAAUUGAAGCUCUCAAGACAUGAAAGAAGAGUUGUGGUUUCAUGAGACUUUUUAGCAAAACAGUUCAUGAAUUGGGCUUGAAUAUAUAAUAUAUAGUUACAUAAUGAUAUAAUAUAUAGUUUUUUUUCAAUAAUAUUCAAAUUAUUUUGUUGAUGUAACGUGUUGGUUAGGUAUUGGGCAUACCUUUUUUGACUUUAACACUUCCAUUGCACGGAAUGAAGCAAUGUACCCCCAUGGCCUUUGUUUGGAAGAACACAUGGCUGAAUUAACCCACGACUUGAUACAAAAAUUGAACCCAAAAAGUUGCUAAAAUAAUUUGAAGCAAUUUUGUAUAAUCUUUUGUAAUAUUAAAAGAAUAUGCACCAUAUUUAUUAUUUGAAAAUCAUGACUUUAUGUAAGUAUAAAUUAACAGAGACUGAUAUUUUAAUUGAAAAAGAGAGCGGAGAUUUGGUGAAACCACAGGGAGCUAUGCCAUGGUGAUGGAGCCUUGGAGUAACCCAUGAUCUACGUACAUUAAUACUAGUAGAAUUAGUGGCCCCAUGUAUUUGUUCUUACACGUGCUUGCUACCCAAAUCAUGCAAAGUAUGUACACAUAAAAUUCUUUUGGGUGUUUGGAUCACUAGAAAAAGAGAGAAAAAAGUGUGCACUUUUAGUGGGUCAACAGGCAUUUGCUUUAUAAUCAAGUAUGGUGUGUAGGACGAAUUGGGGGCAGCCCUACUUCACUCUGUUCAUGCAUAAAUACCUAAACAAGAGAAGUUGACCAAAUCACUUUACCAACUUGUAAGCAAAGACCAUGGCUCAGUUCAGUGGAACAAGCCUUUGAACUAAAAUUAGGCUUCUCUCCACUGGCAAUUGUUUUUUUUUUUUUUAAUGAAAAUACAACUGAGAAUUGAAGCAACUUUGAUGAAAAGACCAUCAACUCCUUCAUCCCAUGAAAACAUUGAACAGGCCAUCUCUCAAAAUUCCAAAAGUCAAUACUAGGAUAGUUUUCAUAAUUACAAUACCCUAUGUUUGGUUAAGGGGAAUUUGAGAGAAAACGUGAAAGAAAAAAAUAAAAAGAAAAAAUAAAACAAAAUAAGAAAUUAUGAUGUAUUCCUAAUAUUUUUUAUAGUUGUAUUCCUAAUAUAUGACAAUUUAUUUAUAAAAUUAAUUAUAUAAGAUAUUUAUAAGGAAUUAAGAACAUAACAAAUUGAAAUAUGAUAAAUGUUACAAGUAUUAAAUAUGAACAUAUGAUAAUUUUAAACUAGAUAUGAAUAUUAAUCAUUAAUAAUAAAUUAAUAAAUUAAAUUAUAUAAAUAUGAAAAUUAAAUUUAUAAUGAAAUACCAUAAAACAGACUAAUAGUAUUUUAAACUAUUUUAGUAUAUUGAUAUAUAUAUAUAUUAUUGUAACUAAAUAUGAAAUGAAAUAAGUUUAUUUUAUUCAUUCUUAAGUUCAUUUAAUUGUGUUUAAUAUUGUAAUAAUUUUUAAAAAUAUUUUUUAGUUUUUAAUUAGUUUAUUUUGCAUAUCAAUAGUACGAAUCAUAGAUGCUAAGAGCAAUAUGCCUUAAGACUUCUUGAGUCAAUGACUGAUAUUGUGAAGAACCACAUGGAAGGCUUUGAAGACAAAAGUGUUUGGAGAUUAAUUGGGUUCUAUAUAGUGUAUUUAUUGUGAUUUAAUUUGGUAUUAAUUAGCUUAUAAUUAAAUAAUUUGGGUUUUUGGGCUGUUAUAUGGAUAUAUUAAAAAUGUUAUUUAUUUUUUAUCUUGAUGAAUAACAUUUCUAAGUAUUUAUUUAAGAUUUAUUUUGUGAAUGCCCAUGUUUUGUCUUGUUAUUAAAAGUUUUGUUUAUUGUUGAUAAUUUUGUUAAGAUAUGGACUCACAUAUCUAACAAUAAUUCAUGACUAAGCUAUUCACCUCUUACUAUUUGUUUUUUGAUUCGUUCAAGAGUAUGGGCCACCUAUGUGUAGAGCCCAAACGCCAUCACGAGCCUUAGAUGAUGGGUUAAGACUCGUGAGACCCAAUAGCCCAAUGGGUAUGGUCCCCAAGGCAAGAGGGUAUAAAAGGUCAAGGGUCUGUUCAUUUUGAAUCAUCACAUUUUUUAAUAGAACAGAACCCUAAUCUCUCCCGCUUCCCAUUGCCAGAGAGAAUCCAGUGACGGUGGUUACCCUCUUCGGCCUUAAAAGAUCCAUACAUCUUCAACCAAAAUUCAUAAAUGGAUUCGGGUAUGUUCCAUGUGAAUAAAUGCAUGUUCUAAAUGAAUUGAUAAAUAUAUCCUGCAUAUGUUUUGGUGAUAAUGAAGAUCAAAGAUAAAUAACAAAUUUGGCUUCCUUAGGCAUACUUCUAUCUUGCUUUGAUUUUGUUUUACAUUGUAAAUGUAUCAUAUAAACUAGAUAAAUUUUCUUUCAUAUGCCCUCUUUUGACAUGUUAUUUGGAAUUAUUUUAUGAAUGAAUAUAUAUUGAAUUCUUUAAUUUGAUAUUAUUUUAUCUUAUUUCACUUUUUUAUUCUUUAUUUUGAAUUUAAUUGUAUAUAAUAUGAAAUUUGCCUAUGAUAUUGGAUUCUUUAUUAUUAUUUGUGAGCUAAUCCUUAUUGACCUUAUGAAAGCGUUUUACAUGAAAUUAAGGUACGCUUCCUUUAUCCCUUAUUUAUUUAAUUCUAUAGACAUGUAUGCCUUAUUUUUAUUAUUCUCAUGCUUAAUUGCUUCUUAAAUAUAAAAACCAUUAUUUUCUCAUAAAACAAGAUCUUUGAUCUUCGUUUUCACAAGGAAAAUAAGAAAAAACUUCAAGAGAAAGGGCUUUGGUUUUUUUAGAAAAAAAUAUAUAUAUUCUUUCUUUGUUUUUAGGGAGAAACAAUUCUCACGAAGAUUUUUUUUUUUUAACAGUUAUGAUUUUUUGGUAGUUUUAAAACUCCAAAAAAUUGCUUCUCCAUUUUCUCAUUGAUUGAGUUGGGUUGGGUUAGCCCACUUGGGCACUCAAACCCAAAUAAAUAAUAAUAAUAAUAAUAAUAGUAAUAAGCACUAUUGGUAAAAAGAUAAGUAGAGACCCAUUAAGGAUAUAAUGAUGAAAAAUGGUUAAGAUGAUCAUGCUAGAUACAUGCAAUCAAUUAAACCUAUAAACUAAUGCACUUAUGCAAGUUAAUUAUUUGAGUAAAAGGACAUGCAAGAGGCAAGUUAAAAAAAAAAAAAAGAAGGCUCAUUAGUUACCUCAUAUAAGUUGGGAUUCAAGACUAAAGAUUUGGUGUUAGAUAUGAAUUAAAUUACGAGUGCGCGUUUGGUAGUGAUUUUAAAAAACACUUUUAUUCUUUCUAACACUUAAAUGAUACAAAAUUUUAAGUGUUAAAAAAUUAUAAAUACUUUUUAAAAUUACUGUCACAUUGUCACAUGGGCUCUAAUACAUUCCAAAGCAUGGACACAUAAUAAAAUAUUAAGCUCAUUCCCAUUAAAAGAAAGUGGAGAGCCUUUAAAUUUAACACACCCACCACCAUAAUCAAGAUUCAAAAAAGCUCAUUAAUAAAAUAUGUAAUAAACAAAAUAAGACUACUCCGCUUAGUGAGAUACCAAGUUUCAGUUUCAUAUUAUAUCAAAGUCCAAAUCACAAAGCAUGUGAAAAGAAGAUAAUUCUAGCAGCUAUCAACAAAUAGAAAAAUAUAUCAUGUAAAUGAAUUGAAAUAUAUUGAUUCUAUAUAUAGUGACUAUAUAUCAUGCACUAUGGUAAUGGAAAAUUUCAUCUAAAAUAUUUUCCUUCUUGGUUUUGACUACUAGGACAAAGUUGAAUUAGUUGCUACAAAGCAUGAUGUUAUGUAAAUUCUUAUCAUAAUUGAUAUAUAUCUUAAAUAUUCCGUUCAUUGUAAUACAAAUGACUAUCAUUGGAAAAAGGUUUAGCGGAUUAUUAAUUAGUAAGGUUCAAGACAACAUCUUUUAAGAAAUUACUCAAAAUAAAAUAAAUAUUUUUAGUACAACCACUUGAAGAUGGUUCUCACCACAAGAUUCUAAAAAUCCAUUAAGAUCAAUCCAUCAUUACCACUAAACCUAACCUUGAUUAGUGGUUGCAUGUGCUGAUUAUCAAAAGUGAGAUCUUUCUUUAUAUAUAUAUAAUGAGUGUACAUUAAAAAAGAAUUUAACAAGAAAGUACAGACAACGAAACUUCUAUGAAAACAAUUCCAUUGUAAUAAUAAGUUUGAUAGUUUCAAUAGGUUAAUUUCUAACUACUAGCUUACAUCUUAAAUUUAAAUUAAUUACAAACAAAGCUUAAAUACACAUAGAAAAGAACAAUACUAACCAUAUCUUCUUACUUAUGUCUUAUGUAGUUCACUACUUGUUAACAUGAAUGAUGAUUAAAUGUUAAAAAUUUUAAAUUUUGAAUAUUAGCAUUUUACAUUAAAGGAUUGGCCGGUCUAUAUCACUUGGUAUAAAAUAAAUUAGCAAUAAAUUCCUUGGUUUCAAAUCAACCUACUAGCUAGGUGGUGUCGAUGAACAAAAGGAAAAAGAGAAAUCAGAAAAAAAGAGCAUAAAACAGAGACUAUGCCCUAUGAUAUAAGAUUGAUAGAAGCCAAAUGGGGCAUGUGGUCACUUUGAACUGUCUGUGUUACACAUUGGCAAAUUGGAAAUGGAAAAAAUUAUAAUUAUUACAAGACGAACACAAUAAAAUGAUUUCAUUUCAAUGGGAAUUAAACAUCAAGUGGGCAGCCCACGUUUUGACUCCCUUCCUCUGUUGUAAUAUUGAUUGAAUCGUUAUAACCAGUAUAUACUGAUUCAGAAAUUAAAGCUUACAAAUGAUAUCAAAGUCAAUUCCUGAAAGUUCCUAACGCUAUAUAUGUAAAGGUUCUUCUUAACCAAGUAGAUGCGUUUUAGAGCCAAUCCCCGAAAGUUCCUAACGCUAUAUAUGUAAAGGUUUCUCUUAACCAAGUAGACGCGUUUUAAAGUCAUAAGGACCCCUUUGGGUCUGAAACGAAUAAUAUCUAUACGGUUGAGAGUGGAUUGUUACAGCAAUGGCCUUAGAGACUCCACCAGGUUGUCCAGUCUCAGAUACAUGUUGUCAUCCGCCUUCAUUACGUAAUGGUACGGCGGAGAUGGCCCCUUGGUGGAAUUCAGCAUCUCCGGCGAGCUCGAGAAGUACUUAUACGUCUUGCCCUGGUUCAUGUUCUCCGUGCAGUUGAGGAUGAUUAUGUCGUCGUACCGCAUUAUCUCCAGCGCAACCAAGACUUUCUGGUCUUCCUUCGUGAGGUUGCAGAACACGAACUUGACGUCGACCUUUGCUCCGGCCGGCGAUUGGGUGCCGUAGAUAAUGCGGAGGAAGUGCCGGCGCUGGUACUGGUCGGGGAGGGUCAGGAUUCCGAUGAAGAUCCGGAUGUCGUUAGAGGUAGAAUUCAGGGGGAGAAAACUAGCGGAAGAUGAUGAGUUGUAGGAGAAGA
rnacentral:lncRNA from 1 species